rnacentral:rRNA from 1 species
UACAGAGGGUGCGAGCGUUGUUCGGAAUCACUGGGCGUAAAGGGCGCGUAGGCGGGGAGGUAAGUCGGGUGUGAAAUCCCUCGGCCCAACCGAGGAACUGCGCCCGAGACUGCUUCUCUUGAGUCCCGGAGAGGAAGGUGGAAUUCCCGGUGUAGCGGUGAAAUGUGUAGAGAUCGGGAGGAACACCGGUGGCGAAGGCGGCCUUCUGGACGGUGACUGACGCUGAGGCGCGAAAGCGUGGGGAGCAAACGGG